rnacentral:rRNA from 1 species
UGGCGGACGGGUGAGUAACACGUGGGUAACCUGCCUCGUAGUGGGGAAUAACUCUCCGAAAGGAGAGCUAAUACCGCAUAACACCCUCGGUGAGAAUCCGAGUGGUAAAAGCUCCGGCGCUACGAGAGGGGCCCGCGGCCGAUUAGCUUGUUGGUGGGGUAAUGGCCUACCAAGGCGACGAUCGGUAGCUGGUCUGAGAGGAUGGUCAGCCACACGGGGACUGAGAUACGGCCCCGACUCCUACGGGAGGCAGCAGCUAAGAAUCUUGCGCAAUGGGCGAAAGCCUGACGCAGCAAUUCCGCGUGGGGGACGAAGGCCCUCGGGUCGUAAACCCCUUUUGCGAGGGAAGAAGUUCUGACGGUACCUCGCGAAUAAGACACGGCUAACUACGUGCCAGCAGCCGCGGUAA